rnacentral:lncRNA from 1 species
AUUCAUUGAUUCAUGCCUACAUUUUUUUUGUCACAAAGGAAUUUCAUGGGAGAGCUGAAAGGGUAGAAAGUAAGUAACAAGCAAAUUCUUAACAAAGAUGAGUGGUCUAAGGAGGUGGUAUACAGAGCCCAUUCCGAAUACUAUGAUUCUACUGCCAACUAAUUAAUGCGGUCUUUUUUUAUUUAUAAAAAAGUAUUAUGGAAUUCAAAUGACAGGACCCGAUCCCAAUUCCACUUUGAAAUUCGAACCAAGUCCUGUGCGUGUCCGACACCUGGCGAAUGUCGAGCACAAAUGACCUUUUUACCCUUCCUGUUACAAUUACUAGUAAAACUUCCCUUAGACUCCUGCCGAAAAUUCGGCAAAGUCUCCCCUAUAUUUUGUCUAAACCAAAAAUCUUCCACCUGUUAAACAAGCAAAUAAUUUUCCACCAACUGCCAGAAUAAAAUAACCAAGCAUUCACCAGAUCAAGUUUCCCACUAAAACGAGAUAUCAGAGCAUUUUCUACUAAUUUACAAGAUUUCAAGAACUUUUACAAUAAAAUCCUACGUUUCUUGGUGGUGCGGAAGCUAGGAGUGGCCCGGUGGUGGAUGUCAGCGCACUUCUACAGCAUGGGGGCGAAAACAAGUUUGAAAAUGUGAGUGGACAAAAAAUAAUGUUCUUGAAAACAGUUUAUAAUCAGAAUAACCCCCAUGGUAAAAAUAACUUGAUGAGUAAGGCUAAAGUUCAACCGUGUUUAAUAUAAGGUAUUCAUCUAACUAUAUAUAAAUGUAUGUAUAUAAACUCGUAAAACUGAACAAUUAUAUGGAGAUAUAAAACAUGCACGAACAUUGAGGAAACUGAUAUAAAAUGACUGAAAGCAAUAGCUCUAUAAAAGUACUCAAAUUCCUUUAAACUACCACCUAAAUGUACCCCUGUAAAAUCCUUCAAAUCCCCUGGCAGGUCUCGGCGACACAAAGUCUAUCCGAGCCGCAAACUGGCAGGAUUCAGGGGACUAUGGUCAGCCUGAUUCGCCGGCAGGUCUCGAUGACACCAAGUCAACUCGAGCCGCUCUAGCAAGAUACAGGGGACCGUAGUCAGCCUGAGCCGCAAAUCCUGGCAGGUCUCGGGACACCAAGUCUGCCGAGCCGCAAAUCCUGGCAGGUCUCGGGGACACAAAGUCAGCCGAGCUGCAAAUCCUGGCAGGUCUCGAGGACACAGAGUCAGCCGAGCCGCAAACCCUGGCACUCACGGUCCGAGCGUCCCCGAAACUAGUGAGGCAAUGUCAAGUGCACUGACAGACUGUAAAUAGACUGGAUGUCCGUAGACAUCGGUCCACCUGAGAGUAAUCACCAAAAACGGGUACAUGGUGGUUUUAAAAUAACUAUUUUUAGAAAAGUCUGAUAAUUAUCCGUAAUAUGAUUUAUCUGAGCUAAGCUGCUAUUUCUGAAAUAUAAAUCUCAAAGUCUGCUGGUUUCCACUUUUUAGCAUGUUCAACUAAGCAGCAUAGAAAUAAAGAUAUUUUACGAUGCAAUUCAUGCUCGGAAAACAUGCAAUAAUACUUAUUCAAGAUCAAAUAUGAAAUUUAAUUAUAAAAAUCGUUUAGAAAAGAAAAGUCCACUCACUGCUGGUCCGAGCUAGUUGGACCCUUUGAAGGUCCCUCCUGUGGUUCUGCCGGUCCUCUGGUGCCUAAUUACCCAUAAAGAUUAAAUUAAUAAAACUGCUCAAUAAAAGAAUUAAAGUAAACACCCUGCCCCCGGCUCCUAGAAAUGCGUGUACUCAUUUUAAAGUCACUCCUAUGCCCACUUUAGCCUUUCAGACAAUUCGAACGGCCUUGAAAGACCUGAAGCUGUUCCAAGCGAUAAACUGUCAGACCGGCCGAUCCGGAACCUCGUGGGGUCACGAUCCCCGAUGGCCAAUCUGGGAUUCUCUAAAGGUUCCUUACAGAGAAAGACCCAUGUCCUGCGAGUUUGGUCCAAAACGGACGGUCGGAUUAGCCAAAAUUGCAUUAGCGCUUAAAAUCCAAACUCUAGCCCCAGGGUUCGCGAUUUCGGAGUAUCCGGGACUCCGAUUCGCAAUCCGUCGAAUCCUAUACGAUCCUGAAAUCAUGUAGAACGACAUAUCUGAAUUUGGGUGCGAUCCAACGGCUUGACGGUACAGCACACGGGUAUCGCACAAUAUGAAAAAUCCGUUCGGGGCUCAAACGGACUCCAAAUUGAGAUCCGCGAAAGCCUACGCGCUCGUGACAACACGAAGAUUGCAAAACUACUCAGAGUCACUUCACUACCCUCACCCACGCGCCGCCACACGCGCGGGCAGCGAUGGGUGUCUAAAGCGAUUUCGGCUCGCCGGAAAAACUUCAAAUCACGGCUCCAAACUCUUACCCUAGGUAAAACACCAUAUUUGAGCCACUUUUGUUCUUGGACCUACCCCAAAAAGUGACUGGAAGUGGCCCAAAACAGAGACCAAAAAUUGGCUGAAACUUCAAGUUCAAGAAUCCAAUGGCUACACCACAAAUCGAUCUAAUCCGACCCAACAGGCAGCUAUAACAGCUCGAUAGGUUCAAGAUCCAUACCUGGGUCGACGGAAAUGGUGGCCGGAGGAGGAAGAUCGGAGGCCUUGAAGUUUCGGUGAGUUUCCGUCGUUCUUUCGCAGUUUCCGGCCAGCACAGGUCGUCGGCGGGCGGGGGAUCGGUCGGGAAAGGUAGGGGACUCGACGGCGGUUCCAUCUCCACCGGUCCCGUGGCCGGUGGUGCCCUGAGUCUGCGCCAGCAAGCUCUGGAAGGCGGCGGCCCCUUUUUUUUGCGCGAGAAAGAGAGGCUGGCUGGUUUUAUAGAUCCAACUUCGAGAUAUUUACGGUUAUGCCACUAAGACUCUUUUGACCAUAACUCCUUCAUUACAACUCCGAUUCGGGCCCACUACAUGUCUAUGAACUCAUUUCACCGUGCUUUACGCAACGGUGUAAGUGGAAUUGUCAAAUUCCUCCUCGAUCAAAAAGUCAUCUUUUUCUUAAUAAAAUAUUCCGAUGGCAAAAUUAUCUUUUCGCAUAAUAAAAUAUUCCUUAAUUUUGAAUUUUAGGUUUGAGUUAUUAUAUCAAAUCUAUGCGAAAGUUUAUAAAAGUCUAUAAUAAAGUACAUAAAAGUCAUUAAAACUACUUUGUGAAGUUUAAUUAUAAAAGUCAUUCACUUUAAAAAGUCUAUAAAAGUCUUUAUAAGUGUAGAUUGAAUACAUCCAUUAAGUUAAAGAUCGAUUCGGAGUUUACCAUAAACUUGGUUGUUUUUGCUCCAAAAACUCACAACCAAAAAAAUAGGGCGCUCACAGCUUCGGGAAAACACAAAUACAAACCAUUUACAAAAACAACGUUGCGCAGCAGUCACUGUUUUCUUUGUAACUUGAUACAAAUAAAAGGAAAUGUGAAUAAAGGACUUCAACCUGUACAAGAUUAAACAGAAAAAAUAUGUAGAGCUAAUUAAUUAUCAUUUGCUUAAUGAUCUCAGCAUCUUACAACAAGCAAAUCUCACGUCCAACUCGGAACUGAGAAUACUGAAAGAGAAGCAGUCGGUUGCAGAGAGUAAUUAAGUUAAGCUAGAUCAGAUUUUAAUUAGUUUAGCAAUUGUACUAGCUGACUUGACUUGACUAUAUUGUUAAAUUAACCUAAACGAUUGGUCAGCGUUGUAUUAACUUUUUUUUUUUUUGGGAUAUCUAGCAACUACAUAUUAUGUGGUGUUAUAUCAGAAGUGGAGGAUUCGGUGGUGACACCCUAGCUAGGUAAAGAUAUUCAAUUCGUUAUAGUGUGGCUAUUCCGAAAGCAAUAUCUUACAACUAAAGAAUAAAUUCAUAUUAUAUGUCAUCUUUUAUAAUUUAAAUCAAAAUUAAAAAGUAACAGGUUUUAUCAUAUUAUAAUUCAAUGUGGGACUUGUAUUUCUUCUUUGAAGUCGUUAUAACUCAUUUCAUCAAAUUAAUGCAGAAAAAAUUGCUUCCUCACUUGAAUAUAUGGGUUGGAAAAGCAUUGUGGAGAUUUCAGGCCAACUAAAUGGUCCAAGUCUCUCGUUGUUUCAGCAUGUCUACAAGAAUAAGUAGAUAAGUACCCUCUCAUGCAGUAUAACAGUUGUGUUUGAAGUUUUGAGCACAAUACGUGGACUCUUCUACACCAUUUGGACUAGUUUAUUGUCAUGUUGACGGUAGUGGACCAAGCAUCAUUUUUUUGGAUAUCUAAACUACACCACCAUUCAAGUACUAAGGGGCUAAAAUCUAUAUGGGUUUACUUCACAAUGUCAUCACAUGAUCGAAUUAUUCAAUUUUUAGGUCAUCAUCAUUUAUAAGAAGUAUUGAGUUCAUCUAUUUAUUUGAGUAACUUUUUGUAAGAUGACAUUACGGAGGUCAUCAUCGUUUAUAAGAAGUAUAAAGUAAUAGCUAAUGUUGUAAUAAUUUGAUAAUAAGAUGUUAGAGCUUUUGGAUAAAACUUAAAAAUAAUAAUUAAGUAGAGGGAUUCAUAGGAAGUAUUGACAUACUCUCAUCUUACUUUUUUGUUAUUUUUUUAAAAUAAUUUAAAUAAAGAUAAAAAGUAACAUGUUUUAUCAUUAAGGCUAUAUGUGGACUCAAAUUGCUUCCAUGAAGUCCAAAUAAUCAUUACUGCAUAAAAUAUUUCCCGACUUGAGGAGUGGGUUGGAGAGAAGCAUAAGUUGACUAUUGUGGAACAACUGUUGAAUUCUCAUUGCACUUUCUUUGUUUGUUUUUUCUUUUGUCCCUUUUUUCUUUGGGAAUAGGAUGAGAACAAUCAGACAUGAUUUUCUUUCCGUGUGCGUGGUGCUGUGGUGAGGAAAUAUACCACACAGGUAUAUGGUCAAGGUCUUCCUCUACAUUGCCUGCUUAGACUUGGAUUCUUGCUUCUCUAGACUUAAAAGUCUUCCUUUUGGAAAUUUCACACCUAAAAGGAAAUUUCCUUCGAGUUUAGCGAAGAAAACGGUCUAUUCGCUUGAAAACAAUAUAUAGACUAAUUUAUUGUCAAGUUGAUGGGAGUGGACCAGAAUCAUUUAUUUGGAGAUACAAAUUUCAAUGGCUCUAUGCUUAGCCCGGUUUAUAGGGCUAAUAAGAAAAAAAUUAGCCAUAUCAAAAAUCGUUUCUUCAUUUAAUUAUUAUUUUGAAAUUUUUUAUUCUUUGUAUAAGUAUUGUGUUCGUCUAUUUUUUAAUUAUUUUAUACCACAAUUAGAUGACUAAUGAAAAUUUAGCUAACUUUUUAUAAGGAUGAUAUUUGAUUCACCGCCUAAAAAAUAACGAUUCAGAUCAUUUUAAUAAUAUUGUGAAGUGGACUCCAACACUUUGUAAGCAUUGUAUUAAUUUUAAUAAUGGAUUGUGGUGUAGGGUUUCUGAUCUAAAUAAUUUUCAAACAACUUCUGGAAUACUAACAUAAUAUCAUGUAAGUUAGGCUUAGCAGUACACUAAAGCAUUACAUAUUUACAUGGACCAAGAAAGAGAAGUAGUUGCCUGCAGAAAGCAAUUAAGCUAGAUCAGAUUUUAGUUUAGCAACUGUACUAGCUGACUUGACUUUGACUUUGUAAAGUUCUGCUUUUCUACUUUCUUGUUGGUCCCAUGCAUAUGGCCCCAAUUUACACGUUAUAACCACUAAACCUUUUUCUAUUUUAGAUUUUGUCUUAUUAAUCACCUAAAAUUUGGGGGUGUAAGUAUGAUGAAUUUUAAUGACUUCAAUGAAAUUAAAAGUGAGGUAUUUAUUUUAGAUUUUUAAAGAGUUUAUAAAAAUUUACCAAAGUCUGACCAAGACACUCAAUUCAUGACUUCUAGUGAGUAUAUGAUCGAUAUACAAAUAGAUGGCUCGCCUCAAUAGUGACGCAACUCCCUAGCUACAGUCACGAAUACGUAAAUAUCUUAUUUGUUUUUCAUUAUUUUGAUUCAUGUUCCUCUCUUGAUUGGUUUCUUAAAUCCACGUCUGGGUAUUCAUUGAUUCAUGCCUACAUUUUUUUUGUCAUAAAGGAAUUUCAUGGGAGAGCUGAAAGGGUAGAAAGUAAGUAAUAAGCAAAUUCAUAACAAAGAGGAAUGGUCUAAGGAGGUGGUUUGAGGAUGCCCAACCACCAUUGAAACCUCAUGAGAAUCACAUAACAUGAGUAUAUGGUCAAAGUCUUCCCCAAUAAUCAGAGAUGGAAAAAAGAGAAGUGAAAUAAUUAGCCAAAUAGUAUCGGUGGACAAAAAUUCAAGCAUUCACACACUGAAGAAAGAAAAGGGCACAUUGGAGUGGCAGCACAAUGAACCCCCUCUUAAACGCUUUACGUACGAAGUUCUGUUGAUUUUUGUUGAGUUCAUUUCUAGUGGGAGUGACAACACGUUACACAAUAGGUCUCCCAAUUUACACGUUUUACGUACAAACUUCUGCUUUUCUAUUUUCUUGUUGGGUCCACGUAGGAAAACCAUGCAUAUGGCCCCAAUUCAACAGCUGUGUUUGAAUAUUAGUCAACAGUUUUGAGCACAGUACUAGCUUGGUAUGUUUUGCAUCUCUGAGUUUAACGGAG